rnacentral:rRNA from 1 species
GAGUUUGAUCCUGGCUCAGGAUGAACGCUGGCGGCGUGCUUAACACAUGCAAGUCGAGCGAGAAUUAGUUACCGGAGGCUUCGGCCAAAGGUAACUGAGGAAAGCGGCGGACGGGUGAGUAACGCGUGGGUAACCUACCUUAUACAGGGGGAUAACAUAUUGAAAAGUAUGCUAAUACCGCAUAAGCGCACAGGAUCGCAUGAUCUAGUGUGAAAAGCCGAGACGGUAUAAGAUGGACCCGCGUCUGAUUAGCUAGUAGGUGAGGUAAUGGCUCACCUAGGCGACGAUCAGUAGCCGACCUGAGAGGGUGAACGGCCACAUUGGGACUGAGACACGGCCCAAACUCCUACGGGAGGCAGCAGUGGGGAAUAUUGCACAAUGGGGGAAACCCUGAUGCAGCGACGCCGCGUGAAGGAUGAAGGUUUUCGGAUCGUAAACUUCUAUCAGCAGGGACGAUAAUGACGGUACCUGACUAAGAAGCCCCGGCUAACUACGUGCCAGCAGCCGCGGUAAUACGUAGGGGGCAAGCGUUAUCCGGAAUUACUGGGUGUAAAGGGUGCGUAGGCGGUAAUGUAAGUCAGGUGUGAAAGAUCAGGGCUCAACCUGGGAAUUGCAUUGGAGACUGCAAGGCUAGAAUCUGGCAGAGGGGGGUAGAAUUCCACGUGUAGCAGUGAAAUGCGUAGAGAUGUGGAGGAACACCGAUGGCGAAGGCAGCCCCCUGGGCCAAUACUGACGCUCAUGCACGAAAGCGUGGGUAGCAAACAGGAUUAGAUACCCUGGUCGUCCACGCCCUAAACGAUGUCUACUGUGUUGGGUGGGUAAAACCAUUUAGUACCGUAGCUAACGCGUGAAAUUGACCGCCUGGGGAGUACGGCCGCAAGGUUAAAACUCAAAGGAAUUGACGGGGGCCCGCACAAGCGGUGGAUGAUGUGGAUUAAUUCGAUGCAACGCGAAAACCUUACCUGCUCUUGACAUGUACGGAACUUGCCAGAGAUGGCUUGGUG